rnacentral:rRNA from 1 species
AUGCCGCCGGCGCCGGCGCUGCCGGAUGAGCUUCUCGAGGAGAUCUUCCUCCGCUUCCCGCCGGACGAGCCCGAGCACCUCGUGCGCGCCUCCCUCGCCUGCAAGCUCUGGCUCGGCCUCCUCUCCAGCGCCCGCUUCCGCGGCCUCUACCGCGACUUCCAUGGAGCUCCCCCCAUGCUGGGAUUCCUUUACAACUGGAUCUUUAGCCGCGGCUCCAAGGAGGAUGACCCCGUGGCAAACUUCGUCCCCACCGCGAAAUUCGGCGCACUCAUCUCCGCCGCCGAUGGCUGGGACCGUGGGUACGCUCCGUGGGACUGCCGCCAUGGCCGCGUCCUCCUUGGGAACUACACGGGGCUCGUCGUUUGGGACCCCAUGACAGGCCGCCGGAUGAAGCUGGAAGCGCCCGUUGGCUAUGUUGGCGCGGCGGUGCUCUGCGCUGUGAGGGGCUGUGACCACCGUGCAUGCCAUGAGGGCCCCUUCCAGGUGGUCUUCAUCGGCCUGGACACGAACGAUGAUGAUGGUGAUUGUGUUGCACAUGCGUAUGUGUCCUCGCCCAUGCCGGCCGAGUGGAGUGACUUGGGCUCUGAUUCUCUUUUUGAUGGAUGGAGCAAGCCGUGCUCUGGUCUUCAUCUUAUUACGGCCGAUCCAUUCAUCGAUUCACUGCCCCCUGUCCACGUCGAAAACGCACUUCACUUCAUGCUUAGGUAUGAUGAUAAGCGUGUAGGGAUUCUUAAGUAUGACUUGAGCUCUAAUUGCUUAUCACUGAUUGAUGCGCCGCUUACCGGGUCGGCCAUUGUUGGUCCUGCUAUCCUCAUGGCAAUGGAGGAUGGCAGCUUGGGGUUGGCACACUUGGACGGGUUAAUCCUCUACUUAUGGUCAAGACAGAUGGGUUCCGACGGAGUUGCGUCAUGGACUCGGCGUGAAGUCAUCGAUCUCAAGGAACUUCUCCCCAUUCAAAAUCCCAGGAAAAGAAUUAGUGUUAUUGGAUCUGUGGAGGGCCAUGAUAUCAUUUUCGUGACCGUGGAUCUUGGCAUCUACGAGAUUAAUUUGAAGACGCUACGGUGGAAGAAGAUAUGGAAGAGAGAGAAAUUUCGCUCUUUGAUUCCGUACAUGAGCUUCUACAAUCGACAAGAAAAGGUGAGGCCCUGCAACACAUUGACAACAUAUGGUUGA